rnacentral:rRNA from 1 species
GAUGAACGCUAGCGGCAGGCUUAACACAUGCAAGUCGAGGGGUAUAGUUCUUCGGAGCUAGAGACCGGCGCACGGGUGCGUAACGCGUAUGCAAUCUACCUUUUGCAGAGGGAUAGCCCAGAGAAAUUUGGAUUAAUACCUCAUGGUAUGUGAGAAUGGCAUCAUUUUCACAUUAAAGUCACAACGGCAAAGGAUGAGCAUGCGUCCCAUUAGCUAGUUGGUAAGGUAACGGCUUACCAAGGCAACGAUGGGUAGGGGUCCUGAGAGGGAGAUCCCCCACACUGGUACUGAGACACGGACCAGACUCCUACGGGAGGCAGCAGUGAGGAAUAUUGGACAAUGGGCGCAAGCCUGAUCCAGCCAUGCCGCGUGCAGGAUGACGGUCCUAUGGAUUGUAAACUGCUUUUGUACAGGAAGAAACACUGGUUCGUGAACCAGCUUGACGGUACUGUAAGUAUAAGGAUCGGCUAACUCCGUGCCAGCAGCCGCAGUAACAC